rnacentral:rRNA from 1 species
GGGCCCGCACAAGCGGAGGAACAUGUGGUUUAAUUCGAUGAUACGCGAGGAACCUUACCCGGGAUUAAAUGCUGGUUGCAUGAGUAUGAAAGUAUUCUUUCCUUCGGGACUACCAGCAAGGUGCUGCAUGGUUGUCGUCAGCUCGUGCCGUGAGGUGUCGGGUUAAGUCCCAUAACGAGCGCAACCCUUACCGUUAGUUGCCAUCAGGUAGAGCUGGGCACUCUGACGGGACUGCCACCGUAAGGUGAGAGGAAGGUGGGGAUGACGUCAAAUCAGCACGGCCCUUACAUCCGGGGCGACACACGUGUUACAAUGGCCGGUACAGGGGGCAGGCUACACAGUGAUGUGAUGCGAAUCUCCAAAUCCGGUACUCAGUUCGGAUCGAAGUCUGCAACCCGACUUCGUGAAGUUGGAUUCGCUAGUAAUCGCGCAUCAGCCAUGGCG